UACAGAGGGGGCAAGCGUUAUUCGGAAUUAUUGGGCGUAAAGGGCGCGUAGGCGGCCUGACAAGUGGAAGGUGAAAUCCCUCGGCUUAACCGAGGAACUGCCCUCCAAACUGUUUGGCUUGAGACCGGGAGAGGUGAGUGGAAUUCCCAGUGUAGCGGUGAAAUGCGCAGAUAUCGGGAGGAACACCAAUGGCGAAGGCAGCUCGCUGGGACGUGACUGACGCUGAGACGCGAAAGCGUGGGGAGCAAACAGGG
rnacentral:rRNA from 1 species